AUCUGCGAUAAGCGUCGGUAAGGUGAUAUGAACCGUUAUAACCGGCGAUUUCCGAAUGGGGAAACCCAGUGUGAUUCGUCACACUAUCAUUAACUGAAUCCAUAGGUUAAUGAGGCGAACCGGGGGAACUGAAACAUCUAAGUACCCCGAGGAAAAGAAAUCAACCGAGAUUCCCCCAGUAGCGGCGAGCGAACGGGGAGCAGCCCAGAGCCUGAAUCAGUGUGUGUGUUAGUGGAAGCGUCUGGAAAGGCGCGCGAUACAGGGUGACAGCCCCGUACACAAAAAUGCACAUGCUGUGAGCUCGAUGAGUAGGGCGGGACACGUGGUAUCCUGUCUGAAUAUGGGGGGACCAUCCUCCAAGGCUAAAUACUCCUGACUGACCGAUAGUGAACCAGUACCGUGAGGGAAAGGCGAAAAGAACCCCGGCGAGGGGAGUGAAAAAGAACCUGAAACCGUGUACGUACAAGCAGUGGGAGCACGCUUAGGCGUGUGACUGCGUACCUUUUGUAUAAUGGGUCAGCGACUUAUAUUCUGUAGCAAGGUUAACCGAAUAGGGGAGCCGAAGGGAAACCGAGUCUUAACUGGGCGUUAAGUUGCAGGGUAUAGACCCGAAACCCGGUGAUCUAGCCAUGGGCAGGUUGAAGGUUGGGUAACACUAACUGGAGGACCGAACCGACUAAUGUUGAAAAAUUAGCGGAUGACUUGUGGCUGGGGGUGAAAGGCCAAUCAAACCGGGAGAUAGCUGGUUCUCCCCGAAAGCUAUUUAGGUAGCGCCUCGUGAAUUCAUCUCCGGGGGUAGAGCACUGUUUCGGCAAGGGGGUCAUCCCGACUUACCAACCCGAUGCAAACUGCGAAUACCGGAGAAUGUUAUCACGGGAGACACACGGCGGGUGCUAACGUCCGUCGUGAAGAGGGAAACAACCCAGACCGCCAGCUAAGGUCCCAAAGUCAUGGUUAAGUGGGAAACGAUGUGGGAAGGCCCAGACAGCCAGGAUGUUGGCUUAGAAGCAGCCAUCAUUUAAAGAAAGCGUAAUAGCUCACUGGUCGAGUCGGCCUGCGCGGAAGAUGUAACGGGGCUAAACCAUGCACCGAAGCUGCGGCAGCGACGCUUAUGCGUUGUUGGGUAGGGGAGCGUUCUGUAAGCCUGUGA
rnacentral:rRNA from 1 species